UUCCGUUCUGGUCAUCACACUAUAGAAAGGAUAUUUCAUUUAACGUGCCCUGGUCUCCUUGCAUGGAUAAACGAUGCUAUGAUUUUGCAGAAAUUGCAAAUGCCUGUGACCUUUUAAUGGUGUCAUCCUUUGAUGUGCAGAGCUUCAUGAUGGACGAAUGCUUUGCAAAAGCAAAUGCUCCCUAUGCUGAGGUUUUUACAGGUCUGUUAAAUUAUAUUAGGCUCGGUAUUGAUUCCAGAAAGCUGAUAAUGGGAGUUCCAUGGUUUGGCUAUGACUAUCUCUGUGAGCAG